rfam:Orchesella cincta Ocin01_Sc7968, whole genome shotgun sequence.
CCAACGGCCUUUUUAAAGGCCACCAAAUAAUUCGAAGAGCAAAGUG